rnacentral:rRNA from 1 species
GUGGGGAAUAUUGGACAAUGGGCGAAAGCCUGAUCCAGCCAUGCCGCGUGUGUGAAGAAGGUCUUCGGAUUGUAAAGCACUUUAAGUUGGGAGGAAGGGCAGUAAGUUAAUACCUUGCUGUUUUGACGUUACCGACAGAAUAAGCACCGGCUAACUUCGUGCCAGCAGCCGCGGUAAUACGAAGGGUGCAAGCGUUAAUCGGAAUUACUGGGCGUACAGCGCGCGUAGGUGGUUUUGUAAGUUGGAGGUGACAUCCCCGGGCUCAACCUGGGAACUGCCUCCAAAACUGCAUGACUAGAGUACGGUAGAGGGUAGUGGAAUUUCCUGUGUAGCGGUGAAAUGCGUAGAUAUAGGAAGGAACACCAGUGGCGAAGGCGACUACCUGGACUGAUACUGACACUGAGGUGCGAAAGCGUGGGGAGCAAACAGGAUUAGAUACCCUAGUAGUCC